rnacentral:rRNA from 1 species
GAUGGACGCUGGCGGCGUGCCUAAUACAUGCAAGUCGAGCGAACGGACGAGAAGCUUGCUUCUCUGAUGUUAGCGGCGGACGGGUGAGUAACACGUGGAUAACCUACCUAUAAGACUGGGAUAACUUCGGGAAACCGGAGCUAAUACCGGAUAAUAUUUUGAACCGCAUGGUUCAAAAGUGAAAGACGGUCUGCUGUCACUUAUAGAUGGAUCCGCGCUGCAUUAGCUAGUUGGUAAGGUAACGGCUUACCAAGGCAACGAUGCAUAGCCGACCUGAGAGGGUGAUCGGCCACACUGGAACUGAGACACGGUCCAGACUCCUACGGGAGGCAGCAGUGGGGAAUCUUCCGCAAUGGGCGAAAGCCUGACGGAGCAACGCCGCGUGAGUGAUGAAGGUCUUCGGAUCGUAAAACUCUGUUAUUAGGGAAGAACAUAUGUGUAAGUAACUGUGCACAUCUUGACGGUACCUAAUCAGAAAGCCACGGCUAACUACGUG